rnacentral:rRNA from 1 species
CAGCAGCCACGGGAAUACGGAGGGAGCUAGCGUUGUUCGGAAUUACUGGGCGUAAAGCGCACGUAGGCGGUUAUUCAAGUCAAAGGUGAAAGCCCGGGGCUCAACCCCGGAACUGCCUUUGAAACUAGAUGACUGGAAUCUUGGAGAGGUCAGUGGAAUUCCGAGUGUAGAGGUGAAAUUCGUAGAUAUUCGGAAGAACACCAGUGGCGAAAGCACUCUGCUGGGCCGACACUGACACUGAGAGACGAAAGCUAGGGGAGCAAAUGGGAUUAGAUACCCCGGUAGUCCCUGUCUCUUAUAC